GAUCAUGGCUCAGGAUGAACGCUGGCGGCGUGCUUAACACAUGCAAGUCGAACGGACUUUAUAUGAAGCCUAGCGAUUGUAAAGUUAGUGGCGGACGGGUGAGUAAUGCGUGAAUAACCUGCCCUGUACCGGGGGACAACAGUUGGAAACGGCUGCUAAUACCGCAUAAGCGCACGGUUCCGCAUGGAACAGUGUGAAAAACUCCGGUGGUAGAGGAUGGAUUCGCGUCUGAUUAGCCAG
rnacentral:rRNA from 1 species